UAUGUCCGGGGCUAAAACACACUGCCGAAGCUUUGGAAUUGAGAAUUCAAUUGGUAGAGGAGCAUUCUUAAAGGGACGAAGCAGUACCGGAAGGAGCUGUGGACUUUUAAGAAGAGAGAAUGCCGGAAUGAGUAGCGAGAGGAAGGUGGGAAUCCUUCCGGCCGAAUAUCUAAGGUUUCCAGAGUAAAGCUGAUCUGCUCUGGGUAAGUCGGGGCCUAAGGCGAGGUCGAAAGACGUAGUCGAUGGAUAACAGGUUGAAAUUCCUGUACUAUCCUGUAACAGAACUGUGGGGACACAGGCAGAGAGCGUGAGCCGGGAAUGGAAAGACCGGUACAAGCGAGGUAGGAGAAGAGUUGGCAAAUCCGCUCUUUAAUCUGAAGACGUGAUGUGGACUGAAAAUAAGUAGGGAAGCACGUGAGCUGACUGUCAAGAAAAGCCGCUAUUGUUUGCAGGAUACCCGUACCGUAAACCGACACAGGUGGAUGAGGAGAGAAUCCUAAGGCCGACGGGAGAAGCAUUGUUAAGGAACUCGGCAAAAUGACUCCGUAACUUCGGGAGAAGGAGUGCCAGUAAGAUGGCCGCAGAGAAUUGGCCCAAGCAACUGUUUAGCAAAAACACAGGUCUAUGCAAAACCGAAAGGUGAGGUAUAUGGGCUGACGCCUGCCCGGUGCUGGAAGGUUAAGGGGAGAGGUUAGCGCAAGCGAAGCUUUGAACUUAAGCCCCAGUAAACGGCGGCCGUAACGAUAACGGUCCUAAGGUAGCGAAAUUCCUUGUCGGGUAAGUUCCGACCCGCACGAAAGGCGUAAUGAUUUGGGCACUGUCUCAACAAUGCACCCGGUGAAAUUGAAAUACCAGUGAAGAUGCUGGUUACCUGCGCCAGGACGGAAAGACCCCAUGGAGCUUUACUCCAGCUUGAUACUGGGAUUCGGUAUUGCAUGUACAGGAUAGGUGGGAGGCUAGGAAAUGGUAACGCCAGUUGCCAUGGAGCCAAUGUUGGGAUACCACCCUUGCAGUACUGGGUUUCUAACCAGCAGCCGUGAUCCGGCUGGGGGACAAUGUCAGGUGGGGAGUUUGACUGGGGCGGUCGCCUCCGAAAGGGUAUCGGAGGCGCUCAAAGGUUCCCUCAGAAUGGUUGGAAACCAUUCGAAGAGUGCAAAGGCAGAAGGGAGCUUGACUGCGACACCGACGGGUGGAGCAGGUACGAAAGUAGGACUUAGUGAUCCGGUGGUAUAAAGUGGGAUUGCCAUCGCUCAACGGAUAAAAGCUACCCUGGGAUAACAGGCUUAUCACUCCCAAGAGUUCACAUCGACGGAGUGGUUUGGCACCUCGAUGUCGGCUCAUCGCAUCCUGGGGCUGAAGUAGGUCCCAAGGGUUGGGCUGUUCGCCCAUUAAAGCGGUACGCGAGCUGGGUUCAGAACGUCGUGAGACAGUUCGGUCCCUAUCCGGCGUGGGCGUAAGAUAUUUGAGAGGAGCUGUCCUUAGUACGAGAGGACCGGGAUGGACUGGCCGCUGGUGUAUCUGUUGUCUUACCAAAGGCAUAGCAGAGUAGCCAAGCCGGGAAGGGAUAAACGCUGAAGGCAUCUAAGCGUGAAGCCCCCCUCAAGAUGAGAUAUCUCAUAACGUCAAGUUAGUAAGACCCCUUGAAGACGACGAGGUAGAUAGGGCAGAGGUGGAAGUGUGGUAACACAUGGAGCUGACUGUUACUAAUAGGUCGAGGGCAUAACC
rnacentral:rRNA from 1 species